GCGGGUGUAGUUCAGCGGUAGAACGUCAGCUUCCCAAGCUGAAUGUCGCCGGUUCGAGUCCGGUCACCCGCU
rnacentral:tRNA from 1 species